rnacentral:rRNA from 1 species
GUAGGGAAUAUUGGGCAAUGGUCGGAAGACUGACCCAGCCAUGCCGCGUGCAGGAAGACGGCCCUCUGGGUUGUAAACUGCUUUUAUCUGGGAAGAAAAAGGCCAUGCGUGGCAAAUUGCCGGUGCCAGAUGAAUAAGCACCGGCUAACUCCGUGCCAGCAGCCGCGGUAAUACGGAGGGUGCGAGCGUUGUCCGGAUUUAUUGGGUUUAAAGGGUGCGUAGGCGGCUGAUUAAGUCAGCGGUGAAAGACUUCGGCUUAACCGGAGCAGUGCCGUUGAUACUGGUUGGCUUGAGUGUCGGAGGGGUACAUGGAAUUGAUGGUGUAGCGGUGAAAUGCAUAGAUACCAUCAGGAACACCGAUAGCGAAGGCAUUGUACUGGCCGACAACUGACGCUGAUGCACGAAAGUGUGGGGAUCGAACAGGAUUAGAAACCCCUGUAGUCC